rnacentral:lncRNA from 1 species
AGAACACAAAGAGGGAAUUACAAGGGAUGGUGCCUGCCUUAUGCCUUGUGCUGUUAGAGGUGACCUGCCCCUAUUCAGUGUAUUCUAUCCUGAAUGUACUGCCAGGAUGACAUGCAUCUUCCUAAUGCGCAUCUGCAUCAGUGAUUACAGAUGCUAUGAGAAGGUGCCGUGGAGGGAAUGGAAGUCUUAUGCUUUGUAUUUUGGAAAGGAGAUGAAGGAAGGCAGAGAGAUGAGUCAUAGAAUCAAUCAUAGAAUGGUUUGGGUUGGAAGGGUCCUUUAAGAUCAUUAGUUCCAACCCCUGCUAUAGGCAGGGACACCUCCUGCUAGACCAGGUUGCUCAAAGCCCCAUCCAGCCUGGCCUUGAAUGCUUUCAGGGAGGGGGCAUCCACCUCACUGGGCAACCUAUUUGAGUGUCUCACCACCCAGCAGCCAGCACAGAGCCAUAGAAUGGCUUAGGUUGGAAGGAACCUUAAACAUCAUCUAGUUAAAGGAUCUUCACGUUCUCAUGUGCCUCCAACCGCUGGUCCAGCCCAGUGCAGGGAUGCAAGAGGGCUGGCUCCAGCUUUCUCAUGCUUAGUGAUUUGUCCUUCCACCCCCUAACCAAAUUGCUUUGCCCGAAGGCUGCAUUGUCCCCCUGCUUGAGGACUUGUCCCUUGCGAUGGUGGUUAUGAUGGAGCAGGGUUGAUAUAGGAGAUGUCUUCUCUCUCUGGCUUCAAGAUCAGAGAAAUAACUUUAGGGGGAAAUUUCCCUGCAAUAGGCAAGGGGAGCUGGGAAGGGACCACUGCCCUCUCUGGGUCUGUGCUGCAGAUUAAAAUCACUGCUGCACAGUGAAUAGAAUACAGCUGUUAUGAAAUUGACUUGGUUUGGGAAGGGUGUCCCUUCCGCUAGAGGCUGUUUGUUUGGUUAAGAUAGGUGGGUGCAGAUUCUAACAAUAAGCUCUCCUGGGAACACGAUGGGCUCACAGAGAGGUCACAGAGAAGGAUUGAGCCAGCACCAGUCCUGGGAUGGGAUGCAGUGGGCAAUGUAGGAGAACAGGGUGGGCACAGGAGGAAGCAUGGUGUCCUCUAUCCUAUCAUCCGUGUGCUUCUUCUCCCAAGUUAAGUAGACUUAAAGCACUGCAGAAGGAGAAGAAAUUGAAUGCACAGAAGGAUGGGAAGACCCAUGAAAAGUCAUCUUCCACUCCCUGGAAAUUACCUAUAGAUGAACCAUGUAGGCAGGAGAAAGGGCAGUGUGAUCUCUCUGAGCCCCUGGCGAUGGGGCUGUGUGUCAGAUCUUGGUGUCCUUGCAGGGAACCUUGAGGAGCACUGUGGUCCCACUUCCCUCCAACAAGCAAACUAUUGUUUGACUUAUUUACUGAAGUGGAAAUGUGCUCCAGAUGUGAGAACACGGUUGGUACAGAUCUGACAAAAGAUGAGAGCAACAUCACUGGAGUGAAAAUGGCCAAAUUAGCCAUGGGGGAGCAGGGGGGGGAGUGAAGCAUGAGUGAUUGCUAGGAGUCAUCAGAGUAACGUGAGAUAUGGGGGACUAUUGUCUGCAUGGUGUUAUCUGGAUAUGACAAGAUAACUACAUCUACCCAGUGCCUUGCAGUGGCAUUAGAUUGAAGCCAAGCCUGGAUCAAUGCACCCAAGCUGUGGUAGAAGGUGAGAAAAGCCACCUGCCUUGCAGGUACUGGCACUGCUGCCCUGAGAAGUGUGGGAUCAGCACCAUCCAGGAUAUGUUGAACUCCAUCCCAAGCUUACGCCGAUCCCUUUGGGAUGCACAGAGGAGUUCUCAUCUUACAGAGCUCCUGAUGCAGCUGACUCACAGACAGCACUGAGUUCACCCCUCUACUGCUUUCUUAGCAGCUUGUGAGGAGAGAAAAGUAAUGAUCAUUUCCAAUCAAAGUUGUACAUCUGCAAUAGGCAGCCUGGAGGAUUCCUCUGGCAAAGCCCACUGUAGGGAAGACAGCCACCAGCAUGGGCCGGGGAGGCGUUUUCCCCUUGUCCUGUUCUGACCUUUCUGCUGUGAGGGAACAUUCAGGAUUAUGUGCAGCAAGUUUUGCUCAACGCUGAGAACUCUCAUCCCUUUUUGCACUCAGUAGCCCUUCUUGAGCUCCCAGUUGACAUUUCAAGUCUGAGUAAUGCACACUGCACGUAGCUUGCAAAGGUCAGUCCAGUCUGGGUCAUGAACCUGCAGGUUGUGGAGCUCAUAGGCUUCUGUGUGGGCCUUCCCAGCAGCUUCCCAUUGCCAUCCCAGCCAGCAGUCCACCCUGCUAUCCUAUGGGGAGGAGUGCAUCAGUAUUUUCUGAUUUUAUAUUUUAUUACUUUCCUGCUCUAGACAUGCAGUUCUAUGCGCAACGCUCUCCCUACCCAUUUUAUCCAUCGAAUUCCUGCUCCCAAAGUCCCCUGCUGUGAUUUCAUAGAAUGGCUUUGGUUGGAAGAGACCUUAAAGAUCAUCUAGUUCCAACCCCCCUGCCAUGGGCAGCCUUGCCAACCAUUGGAUUUCUGGAAGUCGCUAUGCGGAGGUGAAAUGGAAGCUUGGUAAAUCUGAAGGAUGCCCUUAGCUUUACCUGGGGAAGGCACUUUAAUGGCCUUGAGGCUGUCAGGCAGCCCUUGAAAGCAUUAACUAAUACCUGGGAAAGAUUUUAUCUUGUAGAAAGCCGGUCUCAACUCAUCAGCUGCAGAUUAAUUUUUUAACUUAACUGAACUGGCUUUUGUUUUUUUCCUUUUGUCUCUGUAAAUUGGAGCCCUUCAAUUAAUUAUGUAUCGUAUGCAGCCACAUUUCCUCUUUCAUUUCUAAGGGAGGAAAAGGGAGAUGGUGAGCCUUGCUUGGAAAUAAAAGCCAAGGGGCUGUGGGAAAUGAUGGUCAUGGAUCUGUGCAGCAGGCUGAGGGAAAUACGGCUGGUUGGCGGGGAGCUGAAACCGAUGUCACCAUAGAUGGUGCAACUGUUGUGCAUGUUAUGGGGCAGCUUCAACCUUCCCCUCGAGCAGGAUAUUGCCAAAUGGGGCCACAGUGAGGUUGCUGAGGGUAUGUUUGCAUAUAUUGGCACAGGCUGCCCAGGGAAGUGGUGGAGUCACCGUCCCUGGAGGUGCUAAAGGGCCUUGGAGAUGUGGCACUGGGGGACAUGGUCAAUGGGUAUGGUGGAUGGAUUGGGAUUGGGGAUCUCAGAGGUCUUUUCCAGCCUUAAUGAAACCUUAUGUGUUUCAUUAAGCUCUGCUCUAUGUCUGAUAUGGGACAUGAGAGGGUUCAUGUGGGAGGAGACCAUGGGAGAAUGCUUUGCAGCUCUUUGAACGUGGGUCACCUGUAGUCUUCCCUGCAUGGUCAGGUCAGAGAGCCUGCUCAGAGCAUGGUCUCUGCUCAGAGCAGAGAAAUUCCACAUUGCUGUCUCUUAUUUCAGGCUGCUAUCUGUGCUUGAACUGUUUGCUGCCUGUCACAGCAAAAAUGAUAUUGUUUGGAUGGGAGGUCCUGGAUCUCCUCUCCAGCUGAUUUCUGUCAACUCAAGGAAGAAAUGUGACAGAGUGCAGCCAUUCCCCAAGCCCAACAGAGCAGGACGAGGUGCCAUCUUAGCGUGUCCUUCCAGGAAGCUAAAUCCAUCAUCCACCCCCAAGCUGUGUCUCUUUUCAUGGAGAGCUGUAUCAGCAGAGAUGCCCUCCACCACCCGGCAAACCUUCAGAACCUCCUGAGAAUGGUUUUCCAAGCACAAAACCCCUUCUGCUGCCAGGAGUUGGACUCAGCGAUCCAUAUGGGUCCUUUCUAACUUGGGAUAUUCUAUGGCUCUACUGGAUCCCACUCCCAAGCUGACUCUACUGAGUGUAUGAGGGGAAAGCCACUGUGAUAAAUCUGUGUGAAAGCACCUGAGAGACCUCAAGAUGUGCCUGGAGUCGCAUGGAGCUGCAGGUUCCUGAAUGGAAGCCCUUCCCCAGCUGAGCAGAGCAUAGCCAGGCCAUCAGCAGAGGUUACUCUCCAUUAUCCUCCCAAGGGUACGCAAAAAGAAGGUACAGGGGAGAGGAUGAGAAAAGCCACCACAGAGGACAAGACAUUGAGUUCUUUUGCCCCUGGUGCAUCUCAGAGCGCUUCCCAGACGCUGGCAUACCGCGAUGCGUUCUCCAACCCACUAUCCUCAAGGU